UUUUGGUAAUUAUUGAAUAAGCUGUCGUGAAAGGUAAGAUAGAGUCAGAUUCUCUCAAAGUGGACUAUAUGCGUGAGUUAAUGACUCGAACACAAAUUCGAAUAGUUACAAAAUAAAUAUCUACAACAUACAUGGUGCUACUGAAAUUUGCCUGAUAAAUAUUUCAUAUAUUGCUACCAAGACAGGAAAAUUGCAUUUUUUUGUCACAACCUAUUGACUGAGAAGCAGGUUGGUCCCCCGAGCUUAAGAUAAUGGGCAAACUCGUUACAUCCUUUUACCUAUCAAAACAUAUAGGUGGGCGCUGCAACUCUCAGUGUACAAAUUGACGUUCGAUUCACUAUUGAAAAGGCAAAAUAGAUAAAACAUUAAAUAAAUAAAAGAAGAAUUAAAAAACAAAAAGUGAAACAAGACAGGUAAUCCGUAUAUUCAUAGGCAAGUCUCUUUCAUCGAACCUUUCUUUGAGACUAUCCAUAUCGUUACGCCUUCUGUGCGAGUCGGAACUUAUCUGAUAAGGCAAUCAGUUCUUCUAUCAUUAGGUCACUAACUUCCUUGAUCUUUCAACAUUGGACAGACGUCGACCCCCAUGCAUGAUCUUAAGACUUUGUGCAGACCUAUUUUUAUGGUAAACAGUCGACUCUGCAACCCCCCACCCUCAACAAAAUACAGCAUUUCUUUCAAUUUUCCACCUAAAACGCCAUCCUUCCAUGGUAUAGGCUAAUCAUGGUCAUGUUGAAGAUUAACUUACUAAUACUUCAACUAGUGAUUCCUAAAAACAACAAAACAAUUAGUGGUCGUCCAUUAUUUCCCGCAACUUUUGACUAAAAUUGUAGAAUUCAUGAAAUUAAUUAUUAGAUUAGAAGCAAUCCACUUAAGAUAUAUGGAUAAGAGAUUGAAUAGUUUUCAAUAAAAGAAAUGGUCGUUUUCAAUGUGACCGAUCAUUCAACAAUUAAACAACAUUUAGCCAUC
rnacentral:lncRNA from 1 species